rnacentral:rRNA from 1 species
UGAGGAAUAUUGGUCAAUGGGCGCUAGCCUGAACCAGCCAAGUAGCGUGAAGGAUGAAGGCUCUAUGGGUCGUAAACUUCUUUUAUAUAAGAAUAAAGUGCAGUAUGUAUACUGUUUUGUAUGUAUUAUAUGAAUAAGGAUAGUCUAACUCCGUGCCAGCAGCCGCGGUAAUACGGAGGAUCCGAGCGUUGUCCGGAUUUAUUGGGUUUAAAGGGAGCGUAGGUGGCCUGGUAAGUCAGAUGUGAAAGUUUGCGGCUCAACCGUAAAAUUGCAAUUGAUAGUGACAGUCUUGAGUACAGUAGAGGUGGGCGGAAGUCGUGGUGUCGCGGUAGAAUGCUUAGAUAUCACGUAGAACUCCGAUUGUGAAGGCAGCUAACUGGACUGCAACAGAAAAACAUGCUCGAAAGUGUGGGUAUCAAACAGG